UGUGCUUCCUUUCCAGCUCCACCUCUACCAGUACACGGAUGGUAGACCACCGAGCCCUGACCAAGGGGAAGAGAUGGGCAGCAGUGAACCCCUUCCCAUUGCAGAGGGUGACAAGAGGAAAAAGAAGAAGCGGAAGGCCCGGACCACUGACUCCUUACCAGGGAAGUUUGAAGAUAUGUACAAGCUGACCUCUGAAUUGCUUGGAGAGGGAGCCUAUGCCAAAGUUCAAGGUGCUGUGAGCCUGCAGAAUGGCAAAGAGUAUGCGGUCAAAAUCAUCGAAAAACAAGCAGGGCAUAGCCGGAGUAGGGUAUUUCGAGAGGUGGAGACCCUCUAUCAGUGUCAAGGAAACAAGAACAUUUUGGAGCUGAUUGAGUUCUUUGAAGAUGACACAAGGUUUUACUUGGUCUUUGAGAAAUUGCAAGGAGGCUCCAUUCUGGCCCACAUCCAGAAGCAGAAGCACUUCAAUGAGCGGGAAGCCAGCCGAGUGGUACGGGAUGUGGCCACUGCACUUGACUUCCUGCACACCAAAGGCAUCGCUCAUCGCGAUCUGAAGCCGGAAAAUAUACUGUGUGAGUCUCCAGAAAAGGUGUCUCCGGUGAAAAUCUGUGACUUUGACUUGGGCAGUGGGGUGAAGUUAAACAAUUCCUGCACCCCCAUAACCACACCAGAGCUGACCACUCCAUGUGGCUCUGCAGAAUACAUGGCCCCGGAGGUGGUGGAGGUCUUCAGGGAUGAGGCCACCUUUUACGACAAGCGCUGUGACCUGUGGAGCCUGGGCGUGGUCCUCUACAUCAUGCUGAGCGGCUACCCCCCCUUCGUAGGUCACUGUGGGACCGACUGUGGCUGGGACAGGGGAGAGGUCUGCAGGGUGUGCCAGAACAAGCUGUUUGAGAGCAUCCAAGAAGGCAAGUAUGAGUUUCCUGACAAGGACUGGGCACACAUCUCCAGCGAGGCCAAAGACCUCAUCUCCAAGCUCCUGGUUCGAGAUGCAAAGCAGAGACUGAGUGCUGCCCAAGUUCUGCAGCACCCUUGGGUGCAGGGGCAAGCUCCAGAAAGGGGACUCCCCACGCCGCAAGUCCUCCAGAGGUGAGGAAAUGAAGUUCCAAAACAUUGGUCAGUCUCCUGUGCCAGGACCCAGAGAGGAGUGAGAAACAGCCUCUGUCCUGUAGGGUCUCCCUAUCAGGUGGAAGACGAGGCAUCAGCAACCAUCACACAAACCAGCUUCAAAAAAUGCCUUAAUAGGUGUGCCCUGUGCCCAGGCCAGCCACACGCCCAAGCAGGAAUGAAGGUCCCCUCAGUCUGGAGCAGCACUAAGCCUUUCUUGAGGAUCUGUUGUGUGCCCAGGACUUGUCAGAGUUAGAACAAAGAAAAAUGGGCCUCACGUCCGCAGCUCUCGUGUUCCCCAUGCAAAGGGCUUUGUGUGCUUUGUCCUGUGUCACCCUCAGAACCACACUGGAGAGGGCUGGGGUGGGAAGGGGCUUUAGAAGUUCCCAAGCUGGAGCGGGAGGGAGGUCUGAAGGCCAGGGCAGCAGACAAGGUGCUGCCGGCAGCUCCUCUCCCUGGGGAGAGGGGAGAUGGGGUCAGUGGCUCCUCACUCUAGGGGCUGUCCGGCAGCAUCAGUGCCUCCGUCUUGACGCUGACAUCCUUUCUGUUGACAGUCUUCCCUUUGCAGCAACUUCUCGCUGGAGGCAGAUGGGCUGGAAAAACAGGCCUGCAGAACCUAAGCCUUCUGGCCCAAAGUCUCCCCAGUCCCUGGGGACUCGGAACCAGGGUAUGAGUUUUGUCUCGACUCCAGCCCCAGCCCAUCAGUCCUUCGGGUUGGCCAACUGAGAGCCCAUGCCAGCCUUGGCCUCGGCACCUCUGGGGAGGAAAGAGCAUAGGCGUGCGCUCUGGCCCGGGCCUCGCCGCGAAACAGAGGUUUUGUGGAGGAAAGCAGCUGUGACCUGGGGCCUAUGCACCCCCCACACGCCGUCCCGGAUCCAGAGGCCUCGGGGACCCAGGCUUCAGCGAGGAGGGCUCCGAGGCUUGCGAGGUGGGGAACAGGCGGGGCAAUCAUCCUCUAGUGACUCGGGCUUCCACCUCCUUUACCUAUGAUAGGAGGCACGUCACCCAAGGAUAGGCUUGUGUUUUCUUUCUCACAGAUGAAACAGCCUGUAUUGAGGAAAGAAUAAGCAAGCCUCCCUCUCUACAUUUCCAAUCAACAGGAGAGCAGGCAUCACAAAGGUUUCAAGUAGCCUUUAAUGACACUCCCCUGUCAAGAGGGAAAAAAUGGAGGCCUUGACUGAACACAGUGUCUCCCUCUGACUGUAGGGUUGCCAAUCCCUCCCACCUCAAAUAGGACAAGUUAGAAAUUCAGGGACAGAGAAAUGCUAGAGUACUUCCCAGCUGAGCACAGAAUCUGGGCACUGAGGUUCUCUCAAGGACUCUGGGGCCUCCUUCCACUCCCCGUGUCUCAGUUUCCCCAUCUAUUCCAUAAGGAUCUUGGAUGGGUUUGUAGUUCUGUGAUCUUGUAACUGAUAAUGGUUUACUGUGUCUCUGCUCCAUAUUUCCUCCUAUGUCUCUGGGCCCUGAGGGAUUUACAAGGUCAAACAAAACAAAACAAAACCAAAACAAAACCCUUUAA